rnacentral:rRNA from 1 species
UACGUAGGGUGCAAGCGUUAAUCGGAAUUACUGGGCGUAAAGCGUGCGCAGGCGGUUUUGCAAGACCGAUGUGAAAUCCCCGGGCUUAACCUGGGAAUGGCAUUGGUGACUGCACGGCUAGAGUGUGUCAGAGGGGGGUAGAAUUCCACGUGUAGCAGUGAAAUGCGUAGAGAUGUGGAGGAAUACCGAUGGCGAAGGCAGCCCCCUGGGCCAAUACUGACGCUCAUGCACGAAAGCGUGGGGAGCAAACAGG